rnacentral:rRNA from 2 species
UGGGGAAUAUUGGACAAUGGGGGAAACCCUGAUCCAGCCAUGCCGCGUGAGUGAGGAAGGCCUUAGGGUUGUAAAGCUCUUUCACCCGUGACGAUGAUGACGGUAACGGGAGAAGAAGCCCCGGCUAACUCCGUGCCAGCAGCCGCGGUAAGACGGAGGGGGCUAGCGUUGUUCGGAAUUACUGGGCGUAAAGCGCGCGUAGGCGGCCAGUCAAGUUAGGCGUGAAAGGCCUGGGCUCAACCUGGGAACUGCGCUUAAGACUGAUCGGCUCGAGUCCGGGAGAGGGUGGUGGAAUUCCCAGUGUAGAGGUGAAAUUCGUAGAUAUUGGGAGGAACACCAGUGGCGAAGGCGGCCACCUGGCCCGGCACUGACGCUGAGGCGCGAAAGCGUGGGGAGCAAACAGG